rnacentral:rRNA from 1 species
GACGGAAGGUGCAAGCGUUGCUCGGAAUCACUGGGCGUAAAGGGUGCGUAGGCGGCUUCUUAAGUCUGGUGUGAAAGCCCAGGGCUCAGCUCUGGAAGUGCACUAGAUACUGGGAAGCUUGAGUACCGGAGGGGAGAGUGGAAUUCCUGGUGUAGCGGUGAAAUGCGUAGAUAUCAGGAGGAAUACCGGUGGCGAAAGCGACUCUCUGGACGGUUACUGACGCUGAGGCACGAAAGCGUGGGGAGCAAACAGG